rnacentral:rRNA from 1 species
CGUUAUUUUACUUAUUUAAUUAAGUAGGACGUACGAGGCUUUCAAAUUUUGAGGCCUAAUUUAUGUUUUCGAAUAUGGAUUAAAAGGAAUUCAAAUUCUCUUUUGCUGAGUCAGAAUCACUCCGGUGCAUUUUCGACACACAUGAGAGGAAUUUGUUUUCCGGGUUUUGAACAUUUUAUUGCUUUUGUUAAAUUCUUGUUUUAAGAAAGAAACGCACGUUUCUGGAGCUCUGUUGGAAAGUAAGGUUCGGCUUUACUUCUCUAGCUUUUUCCAAAAGAAGAGAGUUAGAUGGAGCAGGCCAAUUUCGGUUGGUCUCAACUCUAUUCAUUAUCUCUAGAGACCUCUGCUCUUUUGACCUAGUUUAAAGACAUUGUCAGGUGGGGAGUUUUGGCUGGGGCGGCACAUCUGUUAAAAAAUAACGCAGGUGUCCUAAGAUAAGCUCAAUGA